UAAACAUUAAAAUAACUAAGGAAACACGACAUAAAUGCACAAGAACAAGCCAACUAAGUCGCAUAAAUAUGCUCCUAUCAAAUUCCCCCACACUUAGCUUUUGCUAGUCCUCGAGCAAAACAAAGAGAUAAAACGAAACAAAACAAAUAAAACACAACCUAAACCUUCCAACAUUUGCCUCAGGGAUUUCCAAUGCACAUGACAUGUUAAAAAUCAUUAUCCCCACAGAUUUGAGUCAUCUUUACACUUAAGCACAUACUUAAUCAUAGUCACCACUUACUAGUUCACAAUUAAUCAAUUAAAACAAUGUUUUUGAUGUAGUAACAUGCCUUAGAGAAAUCACUCAAUUCCUUACAAGACAUGCACUCAAUUUUCACUCAGAUUUUCUAACUACACACCCUAUACUAGUUAUAUGUGAGAAGAUUGAUGUAGAUAUGAAAACGAACGCUCACAUAUAU
rnacentral:lncRNA from 1 species